GUGCGCGCCAUCAGCCGCAGGGCGUACUGGGGAUUCGCCGACCACUUCAAGGAGCAGGCGGACUCGCUGCUCAACUCGCUGGACGCGCAGCACAAGAAGACGCUAGCCGGCGAGAUGAGCAAGUCUGGCAGCAACAACUCGCUCACUGCGCCGGUGUCAGGUCGCAGCGCGCUGGGCUCGCGCUCGCGCACCUCGUCCCGCUCCGGCAGCCAGGAGAACCUCAGCCGGACGGGCUCGAUCUCGCGCCGCUCGGCCAUCCCGCUGGCCAGCCCGGCCGGCCGA